AACUUUUAAAGGAUAACAGCUAAUCCACUGGUCUUAGGACCACCCAUCU
rnacentral:tRNA from 1 species